GCAUUGUGGCAAUAAUUUGAAGGAUGUAGCCAAGUGAGCAAUGUAGAAAUUUCAGGAACGAACAGUAUUCCAAGCAGAAAGCACUGGCAGGCACAAAGGUCUUGAGGUGGUGCAUGCCUGGUGUGCUAGAAGAAAAAAAAAAAAAACAAAACAGGGAUGCCAGUGUGGCCGAAAGAAUGAACAAAGUGGAAUGCGGGGGGAGAGGUGGCCUGUGAGAUAACAUGCAACUAGAUGGUUCAGAGUUCUGUAGGCCCUUGUCAUGUUUCUGGCUUUUACAGAGUCAGAUGGGAAACCAGUGGAAGGUUUUGAGUGCCCAGUGAAGUGAUGUGAUAUAUCUUAACAGAAUCACAUUGGCUGCUGUGUUGAGAAUGGAUUGAAGAAAGCCAAGGGCAGGCUCAAGGAAGCUGUUGCAAAAUUCCAAACAGGAGAUAAUGGUAGACUGGAGCAGAGUGGAGCAGUGAAGGUUGACAAAGGAUGUGAAGAAGUGCAUCACUGAGUGAGAAUUUUAAUUGGUAUAACUUCUUCGGAGUGCAGUUUUUUGUAUAAGAAGAGUAAUAAUCUACAGGGUGCAUUUCUGACAGAGGCGACCACUUUGGAAUUUUGAUGGCAUCAUAAGAAACCUAAAAAGGAGAGAAAAACAAGGUUUUAUUUAUUUAAGAGAGAGAGAGAGCUCACAAGCUGGGGGGAGGGGGGGCAAAGGGACAGAGAGAGCAUCCUGAGCAGACUCUGCACUGAGUGCAAAACCCCACCUGCGGCUUGAUAUCAGGACCCUGGGACCAUGACCUAAGCUGAAACCAAGAGUUGGACACUCAACCAACUGAGCCACCCAGAACAAAAAAUUUGUGGAGAUUCUCAAAUUCAGCUUACCAGAUGAAACAUGCAGGUUAUUUUCUGCCAGCUGCUUGAACCUGUUACUGAAGUCCUUCUCACAUUUGAAAGCUUUACCUUUCAUCUUCCCUACAGUAAUUCUGGUUUAUCCAAUGUUCUCCAAAAGAGGAGUGAAAAUUGCCUGGCAUGACUCGGCUUCAGGAAAACAUGAUGAAGUGACAUGGAUUGAGAACAGAUUAAUUUCAGUGGAAGUAGGAUGACAGAGGAUUUGAUUGUAGAUUUUAAACUUUCAAAUUUUUAGCUAGGAAAGAGAAGACAGCAGCUUAUUUAACUUGACUUCUGAUGCCAUUAGAAUGUAAGUUCCCUGAGUUUAGAGAUUUUUGUGUUUUGAUCACUACUGUAUUCCUAUCCUUUAAAAAAUAGUGUCUGGUACAUAAUAGUUGGCUCAAUUAAGUACUGGCUGAAUAAAUACAUUGGACUAUACUUUUGUAACUUAAAUAAGGAUCAUCUUUUAGUAU